UUUUUGUUUAUUACUUGACCUCAUUUUUUUAAAGACAUUAGAACUUUGCCUGCCAUUAUCUUUUUUUUGUUCGACAAUUUGCUCACCACUCCACUUUACCUUGUGGUAUGCUUCUCUCUUCCCAUUUCUCCUUCUUUCUUUCUCUAUGGUGGUUCAGAAUUUCAUCGAGAAGAAGAAGCAGAAGCUUUUGGACGAAAUGGCUGCUAUCGUUCAAAGACUUAAAGGGAUUGGGGCCGUAGCUGCUGUUUCUUUAGUCAGACUCAAAGAAACACCGCAUCUCUACUCGCAGAUCUUUCUCAGAAUGAUAGAACAAUUCCGUAUCCACUUUCUGCCAUCAUUGGUGCAUAGAACAUCUGAUCCACCUUGGUCUUCUUCUUCUCUCUAUACCUCAUAACUCUGGCCUCCCUGUCCAUUUGAGUAAGCUGUGGAGGCAUCUGAAUUAGAGGACCUGAGAAGAGGUCAAUUGUCCCUUUUGUGGGUCUUCAGGUCUUGAGUGGGAGAUUGAGGCAUCACUCAAGGUAGACUGGAACAACACCAACAUCCAUGGAAGAAAAGGAAACCUCGUCACCCAAAAUCAAAAUAUACCUGUCAGGUUUUCUUGGCAUGAACUAAACUCAACAAUUUCCAAGAGUUUAGACUUGGCGGCUGUGCUGUUGGGUAUCAUUUUGGUUCCCACUUGGCUGAUACAGUUCUAAUACUAAUCAACUAUUGUGUUAGCACCUGAGAAUGAUGAGGAACUUGGGGAGUAUAGCCUACAGGCACUUCGAGAGUUUCUUUCUUGCUAAGGUGCCACAAGGAUAUUGUGUUCAGAUUUUGCAUCUUACUCUAGAAUUUCUCAGUUAUGAUCCCAAUUUCACUGAUAAUAUGGAAGAAGAUACUGAUGAUGAAAUUCAGGAGGAUGAGUAAGACAUUUCUUAUUAAUUAAUUGGAGCUUGGUAAGCCCUGAUAUUGUUAGUUAUACUUGAUAGUUUAUGCUGAAUGUAUGAUCGAUCCUUCAUUGAAUUGUAGUGAGAAUGCUUAUGAGUACACAAAUGAUGGGUUGGUUAUUCUCGGCUUUGACUGAUUUCUAUAAUGGGUUAUAGUUAUCCGCAGAUGGACGGACAUGUUCAAUACAUUAUUCAUUGCGUUGCUGCAGAUGGGCAAACCGAAAAUGUUACAAAGCGAUUAUCUGCAUUGUCGGCCUCGUUUUUGGAUUUGAAAGAAGACAAGAUCGGGCCAUUUUAGCAAUGAGAACCAAAGCUUCCUCCACUGCUUCAUUUUCAGGAUGUGGAAGCCGUGGAUCCAACAACUCCUGGAGUUCGAUGGUUGCAGGGGAAGGAGAUGUGAGAAGAUCGAUGUAGUCACCAGGAUGUUUUCCCUUAAUGAUUUCUAAUGUUAAUACUCCGAAACUAUAUACAUCGCAUUUUUCAGUCACCUUCAUAGUGAAAGCAAAUUCUGCAAGAUUACAUACAAUUCUUAACAAUCAGAUCAUGUAUGUCAAUCACUCCAAUCAGACCAGUCCAUUCGAUUUCGGACUAGGCCUAUGAGACUGUCAAAUUAAUUAGUUUUUUUUUUGUCAGAUUUAAAA